UGGGGAAUAUUGGACAAUGGGCGAAAGCCUGAUCCAGCCAUGCCGCGUGUGUGAAGAAGGCCUUUUGGUUGUAAAGCACUUUAAGCGAGGAGGAGGCUACUUAGAUUAAUACUCUAGGAUAGUGGACGUUACUCGCAGAAUAAGCACCGGCUAACUCUGUGCCAGCAGUCGCGGUAAUACAGAGGGUGCGAGCGUUAAUCGGAUUUACUGGGCGUAAAGCGUGCGUAGGCGGCUUUUUAAGUCGGAUGUGAAAUCCCUGAGCUUAACUUAGGAAUUGCAUUCGAUACUGGGACGCUAGAGUAUGGUAGAGGAUGGUAGAAUUCCAGGUGUAGCGGUGAAAUGCGUAGAGAUCUGGAGGAAUACCGAUGGCGAAGGCAGCCAUCUGGCCUAAUACUGACGCUGAGGUACGAAAGCAUGGGGAGCAAACAGG
rnacentral:rRNA from 1 species